AGUGAACGCUGGCGGUAGGCCUAACACAUGCAAGUCGAACGGCAGCACAGUAAGAGCUUGCUCUUACGGGUGGCGAGUGGCGGACGGGUGAGGAAUACAUCGGAAUCUACUUUUUCGUGGGGGAUAACGUAGGGAAACUUACGCUAAUACCGCAUACGACCUACGGGUGAAAGCAGGGGAUCUUCGGACCUUGCGCGAUUGAAUGAGCCGAUGUCGGAUUAGCAAGUUGGCGGGGUAAUGGCCCACCAAGGCGACGAUCCGUAGCUGGUCUGAGAGGAUGAUCAGCCACACUGGAACUGAGACACGGUCCAGACUCCUACGGGAGGCAGCAGUGGGGAAUAUUGGACAAUGGGCGCAAGCCUGAUCCAGCCAUACCGCGUGGGUGAAGAAGGCCUUCGGGUUGUAAAGCCCUUUUGUUGGGAAAGAAAAGCAGCAGGUUAAUACCCCGCUGUUCUGACGGUACCCAAAGAAUAAGCACCGGCUAACUUCGUG
rnacentral:rRNA from 1 species